rnacentral:lncRNA from 1 species
CAUAAAUAUCCAGUUGCUCCAGCACCAUUUGUUGAAAAGACUAUUAUUUCUGCACUAGACUGCCUUGAGGCUAGAUUUUAUAAAUACAUUUUUUAGGUUAUAAAAUAUUAAAUGUUUAUGAAUACCUGGAGGUGAUCACUGUUAACAUUUUGGUGAAUAUUUCAUCAGUAUUUUACUCCAUUUUGUGUGGGUAUAUGUGUGUUUUGUGUAUUUGGAAUCCUAUUAGGUGAAGCCAGGCCCCCUCAACCCCUUUAUUCAGUACUUUCCUGGGACAAUUUCUGGUGUCAUCUCAAAGUAGCAAGAUGUGGCUGUGGCCACUGGAGUAUAUUAUGUAUACUCUUUUAUCAUCUUUUUUUUUUCUGCCUUACUAAAUAAUUGUGAAUAUAUUUUAAAAGAAUUUCCUAUGUCAUCACUUCUUGUUGUUCCUAGGAGACAAGCAAGAGAAGGGUUUGCAGAGAACAAUGGCCCCAAAGAAGGUACAAGGUCAGGAAGGUGAGGAAGUUUUGUGAGUCAAGAGAGAACCUGGGACAAGGCUACUGAGGUCAGAAGAAGCCCUCAGAUGAACAGUUUCCCUAAGGCAAGACCACUCCUAGGAUACAGGGGUCAACCAAACUCAUGGAAGGUGGAAACUUUGUGCACUUCCAGGUAUGGUGAGUUCCACUGGCCCAGCCCUCCUUCAUGACCAGUUGCACUUAGUGUUCUCUCUCCCUAUAGCACCAAACCCAACACUGACAUGACCACCGUCUCCCGGGGACUUUGUACCCCCAAAUACAGGACUAUUUCUCAGCUGGCUUUAUAUCCCAGAUAUUAAGGCAGGGCCCUUCCUGGCAGCUCUGUCCCUGUUCCACAUAAAACUCUCUUCCAGUAGCAGGAUUUCUAGGCAUCUUCUAGUGGAACUAAUUUCAGCAGCUACAAGGAGUCAAAGGACACAAACAUUAGCAAGAGUCUGAGUCAGGGUUGACUGCAGGGAAAUAGCAUUAUGGAUCAGCCCAGGAUUCAAAUCUACACAAUGCGUCUGUAAAAACAAGAGAAGCAUUUACCUCUGAGGCAGUCAGCUUUCACUCUGAGGGCCUGUGACUAUUGAAGGGCAUCUCUAAGCACCAUCAUCUACACACACACACACACUCCGUUGAGACAACUGCCUAGAAAUUCCAGGUUGAACUUUCGCAGAGCAGGUAGUGAAAGGCAGCUGUGAUAAAUGCCUGUUAUGUGUACCAACCUGGCCUCUCUUGACUACAUCCUUUGCCACACCAGCCAAAUGGCACUGAUCUCCCAUCUCACCAGACUCUCCCUUGCAGCAACUAUGUCCAAGCCAUAGCCUUUCCAGGUAGACCACAUUCUAUAAGGACCCAAGCUUAACUUUCUAAUUGUAAGAGAGAAAGCCAGUUCCUGAUGGAGAUUUUAUAAGCACAUGGAUUGGCCUCUACCUCCUGUCCCUGCCUGCACAUGGUUCUUACAUGCCAGAAGAAAAAAUGUGUUAGCUGUUCUGAAUUCCACAGCCAACCCAUUUUCUCUGCCCAUUAAAACAGCUGUGAGCCAAAAAUACUUUACAGUACUCGAAUGAAAGAGCACAGAGUAUUCUUUUAAAAAAAAUUAAUAAAACCCCCUCUUUAAACUCUAAGAAGUUUUAUGUGGUCCACCACCAGGUGUCACCAAUUUCCCUAUUAUUAUAGACCAUCGUGUCAUUCUAAAGAGUUUGUUUAGAAAAUCUUAAUGAAACAUUUCAGCUUUUAAAAAAAAUUCCCCUUUGCACUGAAUGUGAAUUAACCUAUAAAAAUGAGUUGGAUAGAAAAGACAAAAUUUAGUUACACCUUUAAUUUUAUAACUGUCUUUGGACUGGUGACUGCUAUGAAUGAAAAAGAGGUAGCAAAGCAGAAAUGCCUCAUUUCAAUCUGAACCAUCACUUUUACGUUUGGCUUCCCUUGAAACUGAGGCUAUUCUCUUUGCUGUUCAGAUUCAAAGAUGACACCAGGCUGGGCUGGGGGUUAGUAGGAACUUACUAAUUGUCAAGUUUCUAAAAAGUCCAAAGAGAGAGUGUAACCAAAAAAGAGUUUACUAGGAUUUGAAAGUUUCCUUAAUUUGAAUUCAACCAAGGAAGGUUAAGAUAAACUUAAGGAUUAGGAAAAAAUAUGGUUUGAGAAAUUAUGAGUUUUAAUCAGCUAUUUUUAGGAUGUGGCUUAUUACUCUAAGGCAUGAAUAAAAUCUCUAGGCAUGAUUUUUGUCCUUCAGGAGACAUGUGGCCUGGGCUGGAAACAUUUUUGGAAAUAGCGAUAGGGAAAGGUGCUCCUGGCACUUGUGAGUAGAGUCCAGGGAUGCUGCUAAACAUCCAACAGCA